GACGAACGCUGGCGGCGUGCCUAAUACAUGCAAGUUGAGCGCUGAAGGUUGGUACUUGUACCAACUGGAUGAGCAGCGAACGGGUGAGUAACGCGUGGGGAAUCUGCCUUUGAGCGGGGGACAACAUUUGGAAACGAAUGCUAAUACCGCAUAAAAACUUUAAACACAAGUUUUAAGUUUGAAAGAUGCAAUUGCAUCACUCAAAGAUGAUCCCGCGUUGUAUUAGCUAGUUGGUGAGGUAAAGGCUCACCAAGGCGAUGAUACAUAGCCGACCUGAGAGGGUGAUCGGCCACAUUGGGACUGAGACACGGCCCAAACUCCUACGGGAGGCAGCAGUAGGGAAUCGUCGGCAAUGGACGAAAGUCUGACCGAGCAACGCCGCGUGAGUGAAGAAGGUUGUCGGAUCGGAAAACUCUGUUGGUAGAGAAGAACGUUGGUGAGAGUGGAAAGCUCAUCAAGUGACGGUAACUACCCAGAAAGGGACGGCUAACUACGUG
rnacentral:rRNA from 1 species